rnacentral:rRNA from 1 species
GAGACGCUGGCGGCGUGGAUUAGGCAUGCAAGUCGAACGGUAUCAUCCUUCGGGGAUGAGAGAGUGGCGAACGGGUGAGUAACACGUAGGUGAUCUACCCUCAAGACGGGGACAACCCAGGGAAACUUGGGCUAAUACCGGAUGUGAGCUAUCGUGAGAUAGUUUGAAAGGUGGCUUCGGCUGCCGCUUGAGGAUGAGCCUGCGUCCUAUUAGCUAGUUGGUGAGGUAACGGCUCACCGAGGCAGUGAUAGGUAGGCGGCCUUAACGGGUGGUCGCCCACACUGGGAUUGAGAUACGGCCCAGACUCCUACGGGAGGCAGCAGUCGAGAAUAGUCUACAAUGGUCGAAAGACUGAUAGUGCGACGCCGCGUGAACGAAGAAGCCCUUCGGGGUGUAAAGUUCUUUUAUAUGUGAGCAGUGACAUCUAUAUUAAUAGUAUGGGUGUAGAGAUAUUAGCAUAUGAAUAAGCAACGGCUAACUCCGUG